rnacentral:rRNA from 1 species
GGUGGGGUAAUGGCCUACCAAGGCGACGACGGGUAGCCGGCCUGAGAGGGUGACCGGCCACACUGGGACUGAGACACGGCCCAGACUCCUACGGGAGGCAGCAGUGGGGAAUAUUGCACAAUGGGCGAAAGCCUGAUGCAGCGACGCCGCGUGAGGGAUGACGGCCUUCGGGUUGUAAACCUCUUUCAGUAGGGAAGAAGCGAAAGUGACGGUACCUGCAGAAGAAGCGCCGGCUAACUACGUGCCAGCAGCCGCGGUAAUACGUAGGGCGCAAGCGUUAUCCGGAAUUAUUGGGCGUAAAGAGCUCGUAGGCGGUUUGUCGCGUCUGCUGUGAAAGACCGGGGCUCAACUCCGGUUCUGCAGUGGGUACGGGCAGACUAGAGUGCAGUAGGGGAGACUGGAAUUCCUGGUGUAGCGGUGAAAUGCGCAGAUAUCAGGAGGAACACCGAUGGCGAAGGCAGGUCUCUGGGCUGUAACUGACGCUGAGGAGCGAAAGCAUGGGGAGCGAACAGGAUUAGAUACCCUGGUAGUCCAUGCCGUAAACGUUGGGCACUAGGUGUGGGGGACAUUCCACGUUUUCCGCGCCGUAGCUAACGCAUUAAGUGCCCCGCCUGGGGAGUACGGCCGCAAGGCUAAAACUCAAAGGAAUUGACGGGGGCCCGCACAAGCGGCGGAGCAUGCGGAUUAAUUCGAUGCAACGCGAAGAACCUUACCAAGGCUUGACAUGAACCGGAAAGACCUGGAAACAGGUGCCCCGCUUGCGGUCGGUUUACAGGUGGUGCAUGGUUGUCGUCAGCUCGUGUCGUGAGAUGUUGGGUUAAGUCCCGCAACGAGCGCAACCCUCGUUCUAUGUUGCCAGCGCGUUAUGGCGGGGACUCAUAGGAGACUGCCGGGGUCAACUCGGAGGAAGGUGGGGACGACGUCAAAUCAUCAUGCCCCUUAUGUCUUGGGCUUCACGCAUGCUACAAUGGCCGGUACAAAGGGUUGCGAUACUGUGAGGUGGAGCUAAUCCCAAAAAGCCGGUCUCAGUUCGGAUUGGGGUCUGCAACUCGACCCCAUGAAGUC